UACCUGAUUUUUAAUACGAAAGGUGGUCUAAAGCGGAAAAAGUAAGAUGCAGGGCCUUAUUUUUUAUUCGCUCCUGGUUGGUCUCGCUGUAGCAGGUCCUUUCCUUACAACCUAUGAAAGCCAAGACUUCACUCCAGAUUAUGGUGACACUGAUGCUGGUCAAUUGUUCGACAGUGCUCGUCCUGCACUCAGAGACCGUGACCUCGUGAACCACGAAGGCGAGUUUCCGUUCCCCGACCUAGAGGAUGAGGAUUCAAGCGAUUUCGACGGAAAUGUGGAGUUGGAGGGUGCUGAUGAUUACUCUGUAGAAGGUGAUGUUGGUGUAGGCAGUUUCAAAUUCAUACCUGGUGGCGUCAAACUCUUCUCAGAAGGCAGUGGGCUCCCGGAGGAAGAGGAUGGGGCGCAGCGCUGGCCCGAGGAGCUCGAGUUGGAAUACGAUCCUGAGCUCCCAGUGCGCACGGGAGAGCACACUGAGCUCUCCGAGCGUACGAACGACGAGUCGGCCGAUGUUGCACCUCGCAGAACUGGUGUUGGUGAAAAUUGGCCUGAAUUCCCGGAGCAGAACGAGGAACGGGCGUGGUAUGGCGAUAUUGUCGCUCUAAAAACAAGAAUCGCAGAAGCUGACCGUAACUGAGUGCCGAGUCAACAAGCGACUAAAAUCUUUUGCCAAGGCACUGUACACCGUUGUCCCACCAAGUGCAUUGUGUAAAAAUAAAAUCUCGUUCAGUGGAAUAGU